AGCCGCAGAAAAAGCCAGGCUGGGAUGGUGGCAGUGGAGAUGCCCUGGCUCCGUAAUGAGAGCUGGGCCAUGCCUCGUGAGGUUUGAAGCGGGUUAUGAACAUUGCAUUCUGUGUGUAAUCCAUUAAGUGAGGAAAAAAAAGAACAAGCGGACCUCUACCCUUCUUUCCUUUAACUGGUAAAAUCAGGAGCUGCUUCUAGAAUCAGACUGAAGGCAUAGGAUUCUAUUGAAAGCUGGAAUUUCCCAAAUCAGGAAUCAACAAGUACCUGUCAUUUGGCACUGUGCCCGGGAAGCUCAAAACAAGGCUUUUGAUAAGCUGUGGGAAAGACCAAUAAAAGAAAUAUUUCUAGAUAGUUGUUGGUGAUGAUGACUUCUCUUCACAAUAACCAUUCUGUGAGGUGGGCUAACCAGAGAGAUGGCAAUCAGAAACACGUGAAACCAUGCUUGCUGUUUGGUUUGGAUGAAAAAGUGGAGGCUGCUGGGAAAUAGGCUUUUGCAGUAAGAACGUGACCUGAGAUGUGGAUGGCAUGGAUAUUUGUGGUAUGAUGAAGUCAAAGUUAAAGAAGAUUUUAAGAAAUCAUUAUGUUCCACAUAAUUUAUGAAGAAUAUGGAAGUGAUACAAAUCCAGCUUGUGCCUGAAAACUCCUUUAUGGCUCUCAGCCAAAGAAGCAUUUUAUAGAUGAUAAAUACUAGGCAAACACAAAUGGCUAAUUUAUCAUGAGAUACUAGAAUUCUGUCACGCGCAAUACAAAAUUAAAUCAAGAGGGGAACUGGUGACAGAAGGGCAAAGUUGCCAACACUGAACGUUAUGCUCAUAUCAAUUUUGUAAUAUACUAUUCUUUGGCCUGUAGUGUCCCAGU